AGGAUGAACGCUGGCGGCGUGCUUAACACAUGCAAGUCGAACGGUGAAAGAGAGCUUGCUCUCUGGAUCAGUGGCGAACGGGUGAGUAACACGUGAGCAAUCUGCCCCUGACUCUGGGAUAACAGUUGGAAACAGCUGCUAAUACCGGAUACGAGCUUCGAAGGCAUCUCAGAAGCUAGGAAAGACUUCGGCAGGGAUGAGCUCGCGGCUAUCAGCUAGUGGUAGAGGUAAUGGCUCACAAGGCGUCG
rnacentral:rRNA from 1 species